GUUUGCAGGAGACCAACUAUGUUCAGAUUACGAGAGGAAACAGAGUUGUCCUAAUGAUUAACGGGUAGUCAUCCACCACCCAAGAUUCCUGUUCCAGUCCCUCCAUCUCGUUCUACAAAGAGUGAUGAGGGUUGCCUACAAAAUAAUGACAACUCUAGAAUGGACUCUUUUUCCUUGGAUACAUAUUUGAAACCAAG